GAGCGUGGAGACAAGCAACUCAACUUAUCACCUAGUGGUUGUUAUCCAGCACUGAUUCAGGCUCUGUCACCAUCUACAGCAGCUCUGCAGGUCGGGACUGUGCGUGAGGGUGCACAUAUUCUACUUCUGUGCUACACACACAGUAGUCACAGGUCCCGUGUGCUGACUGGACACUGUCAGAGCACAGCUACAGAACUAUAAAGAGAAAUCACUGAAUCUUCCCCUCACUCGGGAUGAAACUUCUGCUGUUUGCUCUGGUCACAGCAGGUGCUACCACAUCCCGAAUCAGCACUCGGGCUGAGUGGAAGUUUGACAAUCUAUUCCAGUGCACCCUUCCUGGGAUCUUAUUUUUCCCGGAGUACAAUUACUAUGGCUGCCGCUGUGGCGUUUUCAUCAGGAACAGCUGGGUGGAAGAUAGACAAUGGUUCUCUGUGUAGCCC